GGUGGGUAGUUUGACUGGGGUGGUCGCCUCCAAAAGAGUAACGGAGGCUUCCAAAGGUGCCCUCAAUACGGUUGGCAAUCGUGUGUAGAGUGCAAUGGCACAAGGGCGCUUGACUGUGAGACAUACAGGUCGAACAGGUACGAAAGUAGGGCAUAGUGAUCCGGUGGUUCCGCAUGGAAGGGCCAUCGCUCAAAGGAUAAAAGGUACGCCGGGGAUAACAGGCUGAUCAUUGCCAAGAGUUCAUAUCGACGCAAUGGUUUGGCACCUCGAUGUCGGCUCGUCGCAUCCUGGGGCUGGAGUAGGUCCCAAGGGUUGGGCUGUUCGCCCAUGAAAGCGGUACGCGAGCUGGGUUUAGAACGUCGUGAGACAGUUCGGUCCCUAUCCGCCGCGCGCGUUGGAGACUUGAGGAAGGCUGUCCCUAGUACGAGAGGACCGGGACGGACGAACCUCUGGUGUGCCAGUUGUCCCGCCAGGGGCACGGCUGGUUGGCUAUGUUCGGGAGGGAUAACCGCUGAAGGCAUCUAAGCGGGAAGCCUGUUCCAAGAUGAGGUCUCCCACCACCUUCGAGUGGGUAAGGCUCCCAGUAGAUGACUGGGUUGAUAGGCCGGAGAUGGAAGCCCUGUGAGGGGUGGAGUUGACCGGUACUAAUAGGCCGAGGGCUUG
rnacentral:rRNA from 13 species